rnacentral:rRNA from 1 species
UCGCUGUGAAGAUGCAGUGUACCCGCGGCAAGACGGAAAGACCCCGUGAACCUUUACUAUAGCUUGACACUGAACAUUGAGCCUUGAUGUGUAGGAUAGGUGGGAGGCUUAGAAGUGUGGACGCCAGUCUGCAUGGAGCCGACCUUGAAAUACCACCCUUUAAUGUUUGAUGUUCUAACGUUGACCCGUAAUCCGGGUUGCGGACAGUGUCUGGUGGGUAGUUUGACUGGGGCGGUCUCCUCCUAAAGAGUAACGGAGGAGCACGAAGGUUGGCUAAUCCUGGUCGGACAUCAGGAGGUUA